rnacentral:rRNA from 1 species
UGGGGAAUUUUGGACAAUGGGCGCAAGCCUGAUCCAGCAAUGCCGCGUGCAGGAUGAAGGCCUUCGGGUCGUAAACUGCUUUUGUACGGAACGAAAAGCCUCUCUCUAAUACAGGGGGGUGAUGACGGUACCGUAAGAAUAAGCACCGGCUAACUACGUGCCAGCAGCCGCGGUAAUACGUAGGGUGCAAGCGUUAAUCGGAAUUACUGGGCGUAAAGCGUGCGCAGGCGGUUUUGUAAGACAGCGGUGAAAUCCCCGGGCUCAACCUGGGAACUGCCAUUGUGACUGCAAGGCUGGAGUGCGGCAGAGGGGGAUGGAAUUCCGCGUGUAGCAGUGAAAUGCGUAGAUAUGCGGAGGAACACCGAUGGCGAAGGCAAUCCCCUGGGCCUGCACUGACGCUCAUGCACGAAAGCGUGGGGAGCAAACAGGAUUAGAUACCCUGGUAGUCCACGCCCUAAACGAUGUCAACUGGUUGUUGGGGA